rnacentral:lncRNA from 1 species
CAAUUCUGGAGAGCAAGUUUACCUUGGCACAGGAGCUCAGGUGGGGCUGUGAGAAACCUUAUCUGUGCUUGCCCGGUAAACAAGGAGCCCUCCAUCUCCCCAGAGCCUUGGCCACCCAGCAGGUGACCACAGGAGGCAGGUGAGCUGGGAGAGCGGCAGGCUGGCCAGAGCCAUCACAGAGCUCAACUGGCCCGGGAGCAGGCUGUGUUAGGUAAAUGUUGCCUGGAUUUGGUUGACAGACUCAUUUACUGAUUGUCUGUUGGUUGCCAAGAGAAAUGCCAUCAAAUUCACCAGAUGCAAAGACUGCUACCAUCCACCAUCGUGAGCCUUUGAGACCACAAAGAUCUUCU